CAGGACGAACGCUGGCGGCGUGCCUAACACAUGCAAGUCGAGCGAGGAGAUCCUCGGGAUGAUCCUAGCGGCGGACGGGUGAGUAACACGUGGGCAACCUGCCUCAUAGAGAGGAAUAGCCUUCCGAAAGGGAGAUUAAUACCUCAUAACAUUGCAGUUUCGCAUGGAACAGCAAUUAAAGGAGCAAUCCGCUAUGAGAUGGGCCCGCGGCGCAUUAGCUAGUUGGUGAGGUAACGGCUCACCAAGGCGACGAUGCGUAGCCGACCUGAGAGGGUGAUCGGCCACAUUGGGACUGAGACACGGCCCAGACUCCUACGGGAGGCAGCAGUGGGGAAUAUUGCACAAUGGGGGAAACCCUGAUGCAAGCAACGCCGCGUGAGUGAUGACGGCCUUCGGGUUGUAAAGCUCUGUCUUCAGGGACGAUAAUGACGGUACCUGAGGAGGAAGCCACGGCUAACUACGUGCCAGCCGCAGC
rnacentral:rRNA from 1 species